rnacentral:rRNA from 1 species
AGCAUAUCAAUAAGCGGAGGAAAAGAAACUAACAAGGAUUCCCCUAAUAACGGCGAGUGAAGCGGGAAGAGCUCAAAUUUAAAAUCUGGCAGUGUAUUCUGUCCGAGUUGUAGUCUAGAGAAGCAUCAUCCGUGCUGGACCAUGUACAAGUCUCUUGGAACAGAGCGUCAUAGAGGGUGAGAAUCCCGUCCUUGACAUGGACUCCCAGUACUUUGUGUUGUGCUCUCAACGAGUCGAGUUGUUUGGGAAUGCAGCUCAAAAUGGGUGGUAAAUUCCAUCUAAAGCUAAAUAUUGGCGAGAGACCGAUAGCGAACAAGUACCGUGAGGGAAAGAUGAAAAGCACUUUGGAGAGAGAGUUAAACAGUACGUGAAAUUGUUGAAAUGGAAACGCUUGAAGUCAGUCGCGUUCUCUGGGAUUCAGCCUUGCUUUUGCUUGGUGCAUUUCCUAGUCUACGGGCCAGCAUGAAUUUUGACCGGUGGAAAAAGAUUUGGGGAAUGUGGCACCUUCGGGUGUGUUAUAGCCCCUUGUCAUAUACAUCGGUUGGGAUUGAGGUCUUAGUGCACGCUUCGGUUGUGCUUUGAUGCUGGCGUAAUGGCUUUAAACGACCCGUCUUGAAACACGGACCAAGGAGUCUAACAUGUCUGCAAGUGUUUGGGUGCAAAACCCGAGCGCGAAAUGAAAGUGAUAGUUGGGAACCUCUUCAGAGGGGCACCGACGCCCGGACCAGACCUUCUGUGACGGAUCCGAGGUAGAGCAUAUAUGUUGGGACCCGAAAGAUGGUGAACUAUGCCUGCAUAGGGUGAAGCCAGAGGAAACUCUGGUGGAGGCUCGUAGCGAUUCUGACGUGCAAAUCGAUCGUCAAAUGUGGGUAUAGGGGCGAAAGAC